AGUGAACGCUGGCGGUAGGCCUAACACAUGCAAGUCGAGCGGCAGCACAGUAAGAGCUUGCUCUUACGGGUGGCGAGUGGCGGACGGGUGAGGAAUACAUCGGAAUCUACUUUUUCGUGGGGGCUAACGUAGGGAAACUUACGCUAAUACCGCAUACGACCUACGGGUGAAAGCAGGGGAUCUUCGGACCUUGCGCGAUUGAAUGAGCCGAUGUCGGAUUAGCUAGUUGGCGGGGUAAAGGCCCACCAAGGCGACGAUCCGUAGCUGGUCUGAGAGGAUGAUCAGCCACACUGGAACUGAGACACGGUCCAGACUCCUACGGGAGGCAGCAGUGGGGAAUAUUGGACAAUGGGCGCAAGCCUGAUCCAGCCAUACCGCGUGGGUGAAGAAGGCCUUCGGGUUGUAAAGCCCUUUUGUUGGGAAAGAAAAGCAGCAGGUUAAUACCCCGCUGUUCUGACGGUACCAAAAGAAUAAGCACCGGCUAACUUCGUG
rnacentral:rRNA from 1 species